CUUUAAAUAGAUUUACAAAAUGAAAGCUCCUAGGACAGUUAUUUUUGUUAGAAGCUGAAUAAGGAUUAGAGCAAUGUCCUCCUUUUAAAGGUGAUGAUGUGUAUGUAAAAGAGAACCAAAUUAAUGUUGCAUAUGUCCAACAUUCCGCCCACCACUUGUUAAUAUACUGCUGAUAUAUGUAGAUCAGUGAAUUCCAGAUUGUAGUG